GAUGAACGCUGGCGGCAUGCCUAACACAUGCAAGUCGAUCGGUAAGGCUCUUCGGAGUACACGAGAGGCGGACGGCUGAGUAACGCGUAGGAACACACCCUGCAGUGAGGGAUAAGACACCGAAAGGUGUUCUAAUACCGCAUACGGUCUUCGGAUUAAAGCAUUUAUGCGCUGAAGGAGUGGCCUGCGUCAUAUUAGAUAGUUGGUGAGGUAAUGGCUCACCAAGUCGAUGAUGUGUAGCUGGUCUGAGAGGAUGAUCAGCCAGACUGGAACUGAGACACGGUCCAGACUCCUACGGGAGGCAGCAGUGAGGAAUAUUUCACAAGGAGCGAAAGCGUGAUGGAGCAAUGCCGCGUGCAGGAUGAAGGCCCUCGGGUUGUAAACUGCUUUUAUAAGAGAAGAUUAUGACGGUAACUUAUGAAUAAGGGACGGCUAACUACGUG
rnacentral:rRNA from 1 species